CAGAUGACCAAAUAGCCCUGUCUCCAAUUAUCAGAAGCAGUCGUCCAGUGGUUCAUUCCUCUCCUCAAUUAUCAGAUGACCAAACAAUUGCUCUUCCUCUCCUCUUUUACGCUUUCUUCGUCGGUCCAGUGUUUCAUUCCCCAGUCAUCCACAGUCUUCCUUUCCUCCUUCACAGAACGAGUCACCGUCGGUGAAGAAGUUGCCGUCCAGCCAUGGUUUGAAGGUGCCGGUGAGAGAAAUCGCAGUUAUUAGUUGUGAGUUUCGGCGCUCAGGUUCGGUGUGAAGCAUUCGGCGGUGGUUGGUGUUCCCUGGCUCAGAUCCGGCGCUCAGGCUGGUGGAUUGGACACGCUCACUCAUAACAGCUUAGUAGCAUAUAGAUCUGCAAAUCAGCAGGCAGUGCAAAUUCCAUUUGCUCCAGUAAGACACAUCCCUCCGGCGCCGGCCGUCCAAAUCGCCGUCGUGGCUCAAUAGGAAGCAAAUCCAUUUGAAGUGCAAAUACCAUUUGCUCCAUCGAGCGACAUCCCUCAAAUGGCAGAUAUGGCUCAACCACAAGCGAAUCCAUUUGAUCAUUACACGCCCUAUUAUCAGUCUCAUCAGCAACAUGAUGUGUUGAUGAAUCUAGCCAAUCCCUUUGCUCAUAGGGCGUAUCCUGGGAAUCCUGUUUCGCAACCACAGGUCAUUCAUGGAGCGUUUCAUCAAGAAGCUAACAUCAGCCGAAAUUGGAAGCAUCCUCCAAGGGAAUAAUCGGUAUCGAUAUAUAUAAUGCAGAAAAUAGAAGCAGAGAGAAUGAAACUAUUUUGAUGUAUAAUGGCCAUGGACCUUGAUGAGAAUGAACUAUGUUGAUGUAUUGUGGAUCCAUAGAAUGAAUAAUGGAAUUAUUCAGUGAAUUGUC